GAGCGCAGGCGGUUUUGUAAGUCUGCUGUGAAAGCCCUCAGCUCAACUGAGGAAGUGCAGUGGAAACUACAAAACUUGAGUACAGAAGAGGAAAGUGGAACUCCAUGUGUAGCGGUGAAAUGCGUAGAUAUAUGGAAGAACACCAGUGGCGAAGGCGGCUUUCUGGUCUGUUACUGACGCUGAGGCUCGAAAGCAUGGGUAGCGAACAGGAUUAGAUACCCUGGUAGUCCAUGCCGUAAACGAUGAAUACUAGGUGUUGGAGGGUUU
rnacentral:rRNA from 1 species